ACGGGAGACUGGGAGCCGCCAGCCAGUAGUAGGUGUUGCCCCUAAGCGGGCCGCGAACGAGCAUUGCCCAUGUGCGACGAUCCUUCCCCUAAAAAUCAGUAUCAGAAAGAAUAACAUUAACAUUGUUGUGACGACAUAAUUGGGCAACAGAGAUCAAAUUUUUACGCAUGUGGAACACAGAGAGCCCCAGUUAAUAAAAGAGAGG
rnacentral:lncRNA from 1 species